CAGAUAUCACAGGUUGCGCAACUGGUGAUCCAGUUUUGUCAAAAUAUGGGAUUUCGGGCAGAUUUGUCCUAUUUUUUCGCUUCGACCAGGAGAUGCUGAACUUGUUCGAGGUUCACCCUUCACCAUUGUGCUAGGAUUAUUUUAAGUUGUCCGGACGACGGAUCGGGACUCUCU